rnacentral:lncRNA from 1 species
UUCAUUUCCACGAUUGCUUUGUUCAGGUAAUCAAUUUUUAACUUUUUAAAUUUCUAUACUCACUAUUGUAGUCCGAUUAAUAACUACCCUUUAGUUAUCUUUGAUAUAGUGAUAUUUGAUUGGAGGCAGAAUUUAAAAGUGAUAUUUUCAUUUUAUGUCGGCAUUGUUGAUUGAUAAUGGAGCUUAAGAAAAAAUAAGAUUGUCUCAACACAUGCUAAAGUACUCUAGAACUUGUGAUUAUGUUCUUUAGAUAAAGUUGAUGAAGAGUUUCUAGAUAUAAAACAUGUCAUUCUUUUUAAUAUAUAUAUUAAUAUGCCCAGUAAUAUCUUACGCGUAUGAACUGGGACGCAAAUCUUAUUCUUACCUUAUCCAGAUAGAGAGAUUGCUUUCUAACAUAAAUAUAUCUAAAAAAAGAUCGCAUUAUGUUACUUCAAAGUAGAUUAAGUGUAAUUUUAAUGUUGAUGGAUAUGGUAAUUAAUGCAGGGAUGUGAUAGUUCAGUGUUGCUAGAUGGAUCAGCAGGAGGGCCAAGUGAGCAAACUGCAAUUCCUAAUUUGACCCUAAGAAAGAAGUCAUUCAAGAUCAUUGAUGAUCUUAGGAAAAGGGUUCACGAUGCAUGUGGGAAAGUAGUGUCUUGCUCUGACAUUACAGCCAUUGCUGCUAGGGACUCCGUUGUCUUGGUAAGACCAAAAUUACCAUUUAGUCCUUGUUGCUUGGUUUAGAUCGUGUUACUUUACUAUGCAGAAACAUUUCAUUUUCAUACCAAAACUAUAUGUUUUGAAAUAUCAUAAUUAGAUAUGAAGUUCAUUUAUAGAAAAAGAUUUAUUUUUUUUUCCCUGAAUUUGGGACAGGAUAAAGGUGAGAAAAUGUCAGGUCAAAUUUUUAAAGAUUGUGAAGGCGUCAUGAAUGAGUAGUUGGUUUAUAUAUUUAAGAACUCGGGCCCCCCUCAUCUUCAAAUUUAUACUUGUCAAAUCUUUCACUCUCUCGUCUCUUUCGUAUCCUUGUUUUAAAAACUUAACAAGUUUCUAGAUUUACUUUAUUUUAAUAAAAAUUGUGACUUUUAUAUUGUCAUAAGUUAGACUUAUUUUUAUUUGCUUAUGAGCUUGUGGUCGUUUCAGACUGGUGGGCCCUACUAUAAUGUACCUUUAGGAAGAAAGGACGGGCUCAACUUUGCAACAGAACAAGCAACCUUAGACAACCUUGUUGCACCAUUUGCCAACACCACAGUCGUCCUCAGUCGCCUUGCAACCAAGGGUUUAGACGCCACCGACGCCAGUAUGGAAUUAACCCCUACUGCAUGCCAACACCACAGUCAUCCUCAGUCGCCUUGCAACCAAGGGUUUAGACGCCACCGACGCCGUCGCAUUAUCCGGUGCCCACACCAUCGGAAUCAGCCACUGCACUUCCUUCACUGACCGUCUCUUCCCUAACCAAGACCC